GACGUAGGGUCCAAGCGUUGUCCGGAUUUACUGGGCGUAAAGCGCGCGUAGGCGGUCUGUUAAGUGCACAAGUGAAGGCUCCGGGCUCAACUCGGAAAUUGCUUUGCAUACUGGCAGGCUGGAGGGACGCAGAGGUCUGUGGAAUUCCUGGUGUAACGGUGAAAUGUGUUGAUAUCAGGAAGAACACCAAUGGCGAAAGCAGCUUUCUGGGACGGUACUGACGCUGAGACGCGAAAGCGUGGGGAGCGAACAGG
rnacentral:rRNA from 1 species